rnacentral:rRNA from 1 species
UACGUAGGGACCGAGCGUUGUCCGGAUUCAUUGGGCGUAAAGAGCUCGUAGGCGGCUGCUCAAGUCGAAUGUGAAAACUCGAGGCUCAACCUCGAGCCUGCAUUCGAUACUGGGCGGCUAGAGUCUGGUAGGGGGAUCUGGAAUUCCUGGUGUAGCGGUGGAAUGCGCAGAUAUCAGGAGGAACACCGGUGGCGAAGGCGGAUCUCUGGGCCUUACCUGACGCUGAGGCGCGAAAGCUAGGGGAGCGAACAGG